UACGGGGGGGGCAAGCGUUGUUCGGAAUUACUGGGCGUAAAGGGCUCGUAGGUGGCCAACUAAGUCGGACGUGAAAUCCCUGGGCUCAACCCAGGAACUGCACUCGAAACUUCCGGUCUAGAGUGGUGGAGAGGGAAGUGGAAUUCCUGGUGUAGAGGUGAAAUUCGUAGAUAUCAGGAGGAACACCAGUGGCGAAGGCGGCUUCCUGGACACCAACUGACGCUGAGACGCGAAAGCGUGGGGAGCAAACAGG
rnacentral:rRNA from 1 species